AUUGAACGCUGGCGGCAGGCCUAACACAUGCAAGUCGAGCGAGCGGCGGACGGGUGAGUACUGUCUGGGAAACUGCCUGAUGGAGGGGGAUAACUACUGGAAACGGUAGCUAAUACCGCAUACCAUCAGAUUUGCCCAGAUGGUAUUAGCUAGUAGGUGGGGUAACGGCUCACCUAGGCGACGAUCCCUAGCCGGUCUGAGAGGAUGACCGGCCACACUGGAACUGAGACACGGCCCAGACUCCUACGGGAGGCAGCAGUGGGGAAUAUUGGACAAUGGGCGAAAGCCUGAUGCAGCAAUGCCGCGUGAGUGAAGAAGGCCUUCGGGUUGUAAAGCACUGUCAGCGGGGAGGCGUUACCCGAAGAAAAAGCACCGGCUAACUACGUGCCAGCAGCCGCGGUAAUAC
rnacentral:rRNA from 1 species